GAUGAACGCUGGCGGUCUGCUUAACACAUGCAAGUCGAACGAACUCUUCGGAGUGAGUGGCGGACGGGUGAGUAACGCGUGAGAAUCUGGCUGUGGGUCGGGGAUAACCCGCCGAAAGGCGAGCUAAUACCGAAUACGUUCACAAAGGCUUUGGUUUUUGUGAAGAAAGGGUCUCGUACCCGCCCCUGGAUCAGUCCGCGUUCCAUCAGCUAGUUGGUAGGGUAAAAGCCUACCAAGGCAACGACGGAUAGCUGGUCUGAGAGGAUGAUCAGCCACACUGGGACUGAGAUACGGCCCAGACUCC
rnacentral:rRNA from 1 species